rnacentral:lncRNA from 1 species
GGUGCCAGUGUGUAUUCCAGAUAGAUUAAAGAUAUCAAGAUAGCAACAUUUUUAAAAAGUCACAAAAUUAUGGAUUUUUUUCUUAUGAUUCCAGGAUUUUAAAAGUUUUAGGUAGGCAGAAUUGCUAAAGGUAAAUGAAGGUAUGGAAAAGCAGACUUUGUCUUGCUAUUGAAUGGGUAUAUAAAACCCUUCAGUUCUAUCCAUAACAGUUCUGGGUACAUAUACAUGUGCUCUGAUCACUUGCCCAUAUGCAUGGAGGCUCAUGCCACAGGUAGUUGUGGCACAGUGUGACCAUAGUAUGUGAGUUCCAAGGGUAGACUUGUGCUUGAUUACACCUGGCCUCCUCAACUUACCUCUCUGAACUAUUAAAAUAUUUUGUCCUCCUUGGGCAUUCAGGAGGGUUUAAUGAAGAUCACGUUCUUACAGGGCUUUGCCUAGAGCCUGAGCGAACCCUUGUGACUACCUUGUGGGUGUCAUUGCACUAUUAUCAGCAAAACUGGAUAGCCCACGGAUCCAACAAUAAAGGGAUAAAGCAAAUUAAACUGUUUACCCCUGCAGUGUCUGUCAGCAUCAGUUAGAUUGUGCUGCAAUGAUAAAAACCUCCAAUGGGGUUGGGAGCACUGCACAUAAAUAGUAAAUAAAAAUAAAG